UUAAAGGAUAAGUCCUAAAGAUCCUUGAAAUCCCGAAAGAUUUCACAAAUCUCUUCAAAAGGCUCUAAUCUCCCCUCCAAAGAAUAUCGAUGGCAAGAAGAAGGUUGAAGAUGGCUCCCACAAUCAAAAGAUUGUUAAAACAACUUCUAAAGAAAACUCAAGAGAGAAUUCUUGGAGAAAACCCCAAAGAAAAUUCUGC
rnacentral:lncRNA from 1 species